rnacentral:rRNA from 1 species
GAUGAACGCUAGCUACAGGCUUAACACAUGCAAGUCGAGGGGUAACAAGAGAAAAGCUUGCUUUUCUUGUUGACGACCGGCGCACGGGUGAGUAACGCGUAUCCAACCUGCCUAUAACUAGGGAAUAACCUUGCGAAAGUAAGACUAAUACCCUAUGAUUUCCUUUGAUGGCAUCAGAUUAGGAAUAAAGAUUUAUCGGUUAUAGAUGGGGAUGCGUCUGAUUAGCUUGUUGGCGGGGUAACGGCCCACCAAGGCAAGGAUCAGUAGGGGUUCUGAGAGGAAGGUCCACCACAUUGGAACUGAGACACGGUCCAAACUCCUACGGGAGGCAGCAGUGAGGAAUAUUGGUCAAUGGGCGGAAGCCUGAACCAGCCAAGUAGCGUGCAGGAUGACGGCCCUAUGGGUUGUAAACUGCUUUUAUACAGGAAUAAAGUUAGCCACGUGUGGUUAUUCGUAGGUACUGUAUGAAUAAGGACCGGCUAAUUCCGUGCCAGCAGCCGCGGUAA